UACAGAGGGUGCGAGCGUUAAUCGGAAUUACUGGGCGUAAAGCGUGCGUAGACGGUUUCGUAAGUCGGGUGUGAAAUCCCCGGGCUCAACCUGGGAAUUGCAUUCGAAACUGCGGGGCUAGGGUACGGAAGAGGGAAGCGGAAUUUCUGGUGUAGCGGUGAAAUGCGUAGAUAUCAGAAGGAACAUCAGUGGCGAAAGCGGCUUCCUGGUCCAGUACCGACGUUCAGGCACGAAAGCGUGGGGAGCAAACAGG
rnacentral:rRNA from 1 species